UGUAUAGGUGUAAACCUGGGAUAGGUAAACCUUAAUACUCACAUGUACAGGUGUAAACCUGGGAUAGGUAAACCUUAAUACUCACAUGUACAGGUGUAAACCUGGGAUAGGUAAACCUUAAUACUCACAUGUACAGGUGUAAACCUGGGAUAGGUAAACCUUAAUACUCACAUGUACAGGUGUAAACCUGGGAUAGGUAAACCUUAAUACUCACAUGUACAGGUGUAAACCUGGGAUAGGUAAACCUUAAUACUCACAUGUACAGGUGUAAACCUGGGAUAGGUAAACCUGAAUACUCACAUGUACAGGUGUAAACCUGGGAUAGGUAAACCUUAAUACUCACAUGUACAGGUGUAAACCUGGGAUAGGUAAACCUUAAUACUCACAUGUACAGGUGUAAACCUGGGAUAGGUAAACCUUAAUACUCACAUGUACAGGUGUAAACCUGGGAUAGGUAAACCUUAAUACUCACAUGUACAGGUGUAAACCUGGGAUAGGUAAACCUUAAUACUCACAUGUACAGGUGUAAACCUGGGAUAGGUAAACCUUAAUACUCACAUGUACAGGUGUAAACCUGGGAUAGGUAAACCUUAAUACUCACAUGUACAGGUGUAAACCUGAAUACUCACAUGUCCAGGUAUGAACCUAAAACAGGUAAACCUAAAUACUCACAUGUAUAGGUGUAUACCAAAGGUAUGCAUCUCUGAAUACUCACCUGUAUAGGUAUAAACUUAAGAUAAUUAAACCUGAAUAUUCACAUGUACAGUGUAAACCUUGGAUAGGUAAACCUUAAUACUCACAUGUACAGGUGUAAACCUGAAUACUCACAUGUACAGGUGUAAACCUGGGAUAGGUAAACCUGAAUACUCACAUGUACAGGUGUAAACCUGGGAUAGGUAAACCUUAAUACGCACAUGUACAGGUGUAAACCUGGGAUAGGUUAAACUGAAUACUCACAUGUAUAGGUGUAAACCUGGGAUAGGUAAACCUUAAUACUCACAUGUAUAGGUGUAAACCUGGGAUAGGUAAACCUUAAUACUCACAUGUACAGGUGUAAACCUGGGAUAGGUAAACCUAAAUACUCACAUGUACAGUGAGGUGUAAACCUGGGAUAGGUAAACCUGAAUACUCACAUGUACAGUGUAAACCUGGGAUAGUUAAACCUUAGUACUCACAUGUACAGGUGUAAACCUGGGAUAGGUAAACCUAAUUACUCACAUGUACAGUGUAAACCUAAGACAGGUAAAUAUAAAUACUCACAUGCAUAGGUGUAAACUUAAGAUAGGUUAGCCUAA